CCGCAACCCCUUAUCUUUAGUUGCCAUCAUUGAUUGGGCACUCUAAAGAGACUGCCGGUAGUCAAACCGGAGGAAGGUGGGGAUGACGUCAAGUCCUCAUGGCCUUUAUGACCAGGGCUACACACGUACUACAAUGGCCGGUACAAAGGGCAGCGACACAGCGAUGUGAAGCCAAUCCCGAAAAGCCGGUCUCAGUCCGGAUUGGAGUCUGCAACUCGACUCCAUGAAGUUGGAAUCGCUAGUAAUCGCGGAUCAGCACGCCGCGGUGAAUACGUUCCCGGGCCUU
rnacentral:rRNA from 1 species